rnacentral:tRNA from 1 species
AGGAAAAUAGUUUAAAUAAAACAUUAUACCGAUAAUAUAACAUUGUAAACACUUUACUUUUCUAA